AUUGAAUACCUCAAGGGACCCAGUCAUACGCCCUUACCAUGUCCACAAAACACAUGUAGAUUGGUUGGUCACACUCUCAAGACCCCUCCAAUAUCCUUGCAAGGGUAAAGAGCUAGUCCACCAUUCC